AACUGAUACUACCUGCGGGAACCUGCGGAGGGAUCAUUAGAGAGAACCUGCCCCUUAGGGUAGAUCUCCAACCCUUUGCUUACUUUACCUUUGUUGCCUUGGCAGGUCCGUCGUUGACCACCGGCAUUAGCUGGUCAGUGCCUGCCAGAGGACAGCCAAACACUUGAUUUAUGUCGUCUGAGUUUAUAAAUAUUUGUUAAAACUUUCAACAACGGAUCUCU
rnacentral:misc_RNA from 1 species